rnacentral:rRNA from 1 species
GAAUUACGGGUACUCCCGGAUGAUGCUGUCGGCCCAAAGAUUUGUCGCCCAGGGAUGAGCCCGUGCAGGAUAGGUAGUUGGUGGGGCUAUGGCCUACCGACCGACCAUCCUUAGCUGGUCUGAGAGAGAGAUCUGCCACACUGGGACUGAGACACGACUCAGACUCCUAAGGGAGGCAGGAGUGGGGAAUAAUGGUAAUGGGCGGAAGCCUUUUCCAGCUUCCCGCUUGAGUGUUGGAGGUCCAGGGGUGGUUAAGUUCUGUUACCCGGGAGGGAAUGACGGACCGGGAGAAUUAGCUCCGGCUAACUCCGUGCAAGCAGCCGCGGUAAUACGGGGGUGGCUGGGGCUGUUCGGAACUGGGGGGCUAAAGCCGCGGGCUAGGAGGGUAACUCAAGUCUGAAGUGGAAAGCGGGGGGGCUCAACGCCGGGACUUGCCUUUGAAAACUAGGUGAC